GGGCCCGCACAAGCGAGGAACAUGUGGUUUAAUUCGAUGAUACGCGAGGAACCUUACCCGGGCUUGAACUGCCAGCGGACGAUUCAGAGAUGAUGAGGCCCUUCGGGGCGCUGGUGGAGGUGCUGCAUGGUUGUCGUCAGCUCGUGCCGUGAGGUGUCGGCUUAAGUGCCAUAACGAGCGCAACCCUUUUCCCCGGUUGCCAUCAGGUAGUGCUGGGCACUCCGUGGAUACUGCCACCGCAAGGUGUGAGGAAGGUGGGGAUGACGUCAAAUCAGCACGGCCCUUACGUCCGGGGCUACACACGUGUUACAAUGGCGCGUACAGAGAGCCGGUCCCUGGCAACAGGGGUCAAAUCCUUAAAACGCGUCGUAGUUCGGAUUGGGGUCUGCAACCCGACCCCAUGAAGCUGGAUUCGCUAGUAAUCGCGCAUCAGCCAUGGCGCGGUGAAUACGUUCCCGGGCCUUGUACACACCGCCCGUCAAGCCAUGAAAGCCGGGGGCACCUGAAGUCUGUGACCGCGAGGGGCGGCCUAAGGUGAAACUGGUGAUUGGGGCU
rnacentral:rRNA from 1 species